rnacentral:rRNA from 1 species
UACCAGCUCUCCGAGUGGUAGGGAUGAUUAUUGGGCUUAAAGCGUCCGUAGCCGGCUUAGCAAGUCUCCUGUUAAAUUCAGCGACCUAAUCGUUGAGCCGCGGGAGAUACUACUAGGCUAGGAGGCGGGAGAGGUCGACGGUACUUUCGGGGUAGGGGUGAAAUCCUAUAAUCCCGGGAGGACCACCAGUGGCGAAGGCUGUCGACUAGAACGCGCUCGACGGUGAGGGACGAAAGCUGGGGUAGCGAACCGGAUUAGAUACCCGGGUAGUCCCAGCUGUAAACUAUGCGGGCUAGGUGUUGGGGUGGCUACGGGCCACUUCAGUGCCGCAGGAAAGCCAUUAAGCCCGCCGCCUGGGGAGUACGGCCGCAAGGCUGAAACUUAAAGGAAUUGGCGGGGAGCACCACAAGGCGUGAAGCUUGCGGUUC